UUAAAUACUAUGAUCAGGGAAAGUAAAUUAUAUGGAGCAUACAGAGAGAAACCCCGCGGCUGAGAGGGUUUUAUGCAGAAGUAUGGUUGAAGUGCCCCUGUGAGUUUUAGACCGAAUACAGUAGGUUGUUACGGGUUCUCCCGUUAUAGGGAUAUGACAUGAUUGUGUCAGAUAAAAGAGUUGGGCUUAUGCUCAAACAGAGUGGAACCGCGGAAUUAACCUUCUGCCUCUGUA
rnacentral:ncRNA from 1 species